rnacentral:rRNA from 1 species
CCUACGUGAGGCAGCAGUGGGGAAUAUUGGGCAAUGGGCGCAAGCCUGACCCAGCAACGCCGCGUGAAGGAAGAAGGCUUUCGGGUUGUAAACUUCUUUUCUCAGUGACGAAGCAAGUGACGGUACCUGAGGAAUAAGCCACGGCUAACUACGUGCCAGCAGCCGCGGUAAUACGUAGGUGGCAAGCGUUAUUCGGAUUUACUGGGUGUAAAGGGCGUGUAGGCGGGAAAGCAAGUCAGAUGUGAAAACCACGGGCUCAACCUGUGGCCUGCAUUUGAAACUGUUUUUCUUGAGUACUGGAGAGGCAGACGGAAUUCCGAGUGUAGCGGUGAAAUGCGUAGAUAUUAGGAGGAACACCAGUGGCGAAGGCGGUCUGCUGGACAGCAACUGACGCUGAGGCGCGAAAGCGUGGGGAGCAAACAGGAUUAGAUACCCGUGUAGUC